rnacentral:rRNA from 1 species
UACGAAGGGUGCAAACGUUGCUCGGAAUCAUUGGGCGUAAAGCGCACGUAGGCGGCUUUGCAAGUCUGACGUGAAAUCCCUCAGCUAACUGAGGAAGUGCAUCGGAAACUGCAAGGCUUGAGUACUGAAGAGGAUCGCGGAAUUCCCGGUGUAGAGGUGAAAUUCGUAGAUAUCGGGAGGAACACCAGUGGCGAAGGCGGCGAUCUGGGCAGAUACUGACGCUGAGGUGCGAAAGCGUGGGGAGCAAACAGG